GAAAAACAGAAAACAUGUUCAAUAAUUCAUUCGAGAGCUCUCUCUGUCUGUCCUUUUCCUGUGAGGUGAAAGUGAAUGUUCUUUUGGUGGUUUAUGGCCACGUCGGCAACUGUUGAUCUGGCAGCCUGGCCGGCUCUCCUCUGAUGUCAUUUGUCGCGCGGUUUGUGGCCGCUGUGGCACUUGCCUCCCCCUCUCUCUCUCGGUUGCCGCCUGUCACGUUUCAGGCAUUUGCAUGGCCUGCCACAUACGAAUGCACUCGUGCAACAAUGGAAUUCUGGGCUCCGCAGCAUAUGCACGAGCUGCAGUUGCACCUGAUUGCACUUUAUUCCAACGACAGGGCCUGACAAGCGGCACACUGGGCUUUGAGGGACUAUUUCUGAGGCAAAACCCGACUUUUAUGGGUCUUUAAAGGGUGGUCUAUGGCCUGAGGUCAAGCACCUUAGAGCUUUAUGCAAAUCUCCGAUUAAUUAUCCAUCGAUUAGCUAUUGUUUUUGAGACAAUACAUGAUUUACGAUUGGUGAAUCAAGUAUCCGUCAUGGGGUUCAAUUUGCAUUCAAUUGUUAAAAGAAUGUUGGGAGUUGUCGGGGGAAAAAGAGCUUCCUGCUUGAGAUUCCCGGGAAGAUCUUUGACCCACAGUUCUCCCUGGUAGAUUGCUCUAUUUAAACCCUCAAUAUGUUUGUGGCUAAUCGUUAACUUAAUUGUUACAGGGCCGCCAUGCUUGACCCCCCCCAAAGGUGAGAAAGCAAAUCCGAUUUCGCUUCGCUGCAACCAGUGUGCCCCGUGCCGUGCCGCCUCUCCGACACUGGGCCACAAAUCGUUUAGCGGUCAAUAUUAGCCUCAGGUACGAGCCAGCGACCGAGUCCGACUCCGAGUGUAACCUUUUAAGCUCUAACCUUGGUGUCUGCCUCAAGCAACACCUGAUAUGGAUCAGUGUGUGGCAUGGGAGUGGAGUGGAGUGGCAGCUAAUUGAAAGCUCUUGCUCUUGCCACAUUGUGGGAAAUUCUAUGACCAUAAAGAUGUCAUCUCCUGCGCUUUGCAGAGGGAGAAAUAUAUCAGAGAUAUCAGCCCCAAAGAAUUCACUUUUGGGAGGCAAAAACAAAGCAAAACUCGUUUGGUCUGAAAGCCAGUUCAUAUAAUUGUUAUUACUCCACGCUUUGUUUUUGUUUUUAUUUUGUGUGUCAAUAAUUAAGCAAA